rnacentral:rRNA from 1 species
AAGAUGCAGUGUACCCGCGGCAAGACGGAAAGACCCCGUGAACCUUUACUAUAGCUUGACACUGAACAUUGAGCCUUGAUGUGUAGGAUAGGUGGGAGGCUUUGAAGUGUGGACGCCAGUCUGCAUGGAGCCGACCUUGAAAUACCACCCUUUAAUGUUUGAUGUUCUAACGUUGACCCGUAAUCCGGGUUGCGGACAGUGUCUGGUGGGUAGUUUGACUGGGGCGGUCUCCUCCUAAAGAGUAACGGAGGAGCACGAAGGUUGGCUAAUCCUGGUCGGACAUCAGGAGGUUAGUGCAAUGGCAUAAGCCAGCUUGACUGCGAGCGUGACGGCGCGAGCAGGUGCGAAAGCAGGUCAUAGUGAUCCGGUGGUUCUGAAUGGAAGGGCCAUCGCUCAACGGAUAAAAGGUACUCCGGGGAUAACAGGCUGAUACCGCCCAAGAGUUCAUAUCGACGGCGGUGUUUGGCACCUCGAUGUCGGCUCAUCACAUCCUGGGGCUGAAGUAGGUCCCAAGGGUAUGGCUGUUCGCCAUUUAAAGUGGUACGCGAGCUGGGUUUAGAACGUCGUGAGACAGUUCGGUCCCUAUCUGCCGUGGGCGCUGGAGAACUGAGGGGGGCUGCUCCUAGUACGAGAGGACCGGAGUGGACGCAUCACUGGUGUUCGGGUUGUCAUGCCAAUGGCACUGCCCGGUAGCUAAAUGCGGAAGAGAUAAGUGCUGAAAGCAUCUAAGCACGAAACUUGCC